rnacentral:lncRNA from 1 species
UCAGCCAGAAACGCCGUAGCAGGUCUCCUAUGCUGGUUUUUCAUAUUUUUGCACCAUGUAAGUUCAAUUUUUACUUUUUCUUAGUAAUUUUUAUGUUUUUGUGACUUUUACAAUUAGGUCCAAUCAUCUAAUUCAUUAGUUUUUGAUUUGGUGGAUGAAAUUGGAAGUUCCCCUGGCUGAGUAAGGGCAGUUUAUGAUGAAUUAUUAUGAAAUUGAAGUUCUAAUUUCAUAUUAAGGUUGUUUUAUUAAGUCAUUUUGAUAGAAAAUGGUAUUUAGGACCUAAUUGUGAAAACAAUUGUGAAUUAGAUGUUGGUGUUGAAAUUCAGAAUAUCAAAGGUUGUGAAAUAGUUUAUAAUGAUAAAAUAAAGUGUUAAUUGAGAAAAAUUAGUUCAAUUUAUGGGUGAAUUGAGUAGGGACUAAAUUGUAAAAACUAUAAAUUUUGGGGUAAAAGUGCAAUUUCGAAAUUUGAACAGCAUAAAUUGUGAAGUGAAAUAGAAAUCAAAUAAAUGCUAAUGAGUAGAAAUAAUUUAUAUUAUAGAUCAAGAGAAACGAGAUUCAAGUCGUGAUCGAGGGAAAAAUAAAGUUUACGAGGAAUAAGCUCGAUUGCUAAUAUUUUAUAUCGAGGUAAGUUCAUAUGAUUUUUAAUAAUGCAAUGUGUAAUUUAAUGUUUUGAAAUGAAAAUUUCAUGAAUGAUAUAGUAUAUUAUUGCAUGUAAAAUGUCAUUAAACUGUGAUAAUUGUAAAAUGAUAUUUGAAUAAAAGUACAAAUUAAAUGGAACAACGGACUUGAGUACUUUCAUUCAGUGGCUAAGACGAAUUGACGGAAAAGACCAUGGUUGGACCAUGGCAGCAUGUGAAAUGUGAUUUCCGUAUAAGACCAUAGCUGGGCUAUGGCUUCGGAGAAAUGUGAUAUGUGCUUCCGUAUAAGACCAUAUCCGGGAUAUGGCAUCGGUGUGAUAUGUGCUACUGUAUAAGACCAUAUCUGGGAUAUGACAUCAGUGUGAUAUGUGAUCCGUGUAAGACCAUGGCUGGGCUAUGGCCUCGGUAUGUGAUAUGUGACUAUGUGCAAGACCAUAGUUUUACUAUGGCAUUGUGAUAAUGAGGUACUCAAUUCCGUAAUCGUUCCCUAAUUUGAUUAUGAACGAAAAUGUAAAAUGGCCCGAAAAGAUUAAGAAUUGGUGAAUACUAUGAAAAUGACACGAUUUGGAAUAAGUUCUUGAUACUUGAUGACAUUGAGAUUAUGGAUCUAUGCUUAUGAAGCAUAAUUAUGUGUUCUUACCAUGAUGGAUGAAAUAAUAUUGUAUGGAUUUAGUGAAUAAUAGUGGUGAAUGAAUAAAUAUGGCCUUGGCAGUUUUGGGUUACUGCAGUAGUGUAUAUUUUAAAAUUCACUAUAAAUUGUGGAAAUUGAGUUAAGGGCUGAAUAAAAUAUGAGAUUAAAGCCUGAUGAGUUUAGUUUCAUAUAGAGGAAACGGUGCAUGCAAUUGGAUUUUAUGUUAUAAGAUAUUUAAAUUGUUGUGAGACAGAGUUUGAAUGACUUCGAGAUCCCCUGUUCUGAUUUUAGAAAAUCAUUAGAAAUUGUACAAAAAUAAUUAUGAGUUUUAAUUUAUAUAUUUAAAAUCCUUAUCGAGACUAUUUUCAAUAGGGAUAGACGGGAACAUCAUCCAAGUCCCGAAUUAUGAGAUAAAUAAUUUUUAGUGAAGAGAGAUCAGAACUGUUGGACAGCGAAACAGGGGAAACUUUAAUGAAUAAACUGUACUAAAUGGCUAAACCAAAAAUUCUGGAAAUUUUAUGGCAGAAAGGUAUAUGAAUCUAGUUUCAAGGAAAAUUAACGGAACUUAAUUUGAAGUUUCGUAGCUCCAGAAAUAAAUUAUUUAGUAAAUGUAUCUCGAUAAAACAGUUUAAGCUGAGUAUGUAUAAUUGUACAAUUGUGGUGUUUUAUCUUAAAAGCAUGUUGGUAAUUGCUUAUUAAUUUCAUAUGGACUUACUAAGCAUUUAUGCUUACUCCCUCCUUUUCAUUCCUUGUAGUUUUGAUAAGCCAGCUCGGAAAUCGGGAACGGUCGGUGGCCCACUCACACUAUCCGUAUACCAUCUUGGCGUAAUGGCUUGUAUAUUUUGAGUAUGGCAUGUAUAGCAUUAUAAUCAUUUUGUAUAUAUGGUCUUAUGAUAUGGAUAUUGAGUGGUAUGGAAAUGUUUGGUAAUGAUUAGCCAUUGGAAUGGCUAAUCAUGAUCAUAUUUGGUGUUAUAUAUGCUAAAUUGCUAGCUAAUCCAUGGAAACCAUGAAAUAGGCAAAAUUUACCAUAAAAUAGAUCCAGACAGCAGCAGUGAUGUGAGUUUGAAAAAUCAUUAAAAAUAGUAGAGAUACAAU